rnacentral:misc_RNA from 1 species
CGGUCGGUGAUGGCACUGUCCAGGUCACCUGGUCUGUUUGUGGCAAGGACAAGAACUAUAUCUCUUGAUUGAUCCCCAGUUCGAAAGAGCAAUGCAUUUAAAGCACUUCGUUGAGCUUCACUCAUAUGUGUACUAUUACGCUCACUCAGGAAUGCAUCAGCCUCAUCAAUAAAAAGCAGAAGGCCCUUCCUAGACUUCUUAGCCCAAUCAAAAAUCUCAUGUAUUUUUGUAACAGCCUGUGCACCUAAUGGCGCAACAUCCCCUCCUGUCAUCAUAGCAUAAUCUAAACCCGAUUUUCGAGCUAUCUCC